CAAAUGAUUUAAUUGAAUUAAAUUUAACUUUAAAAAUAUCUGAUUAUAAAUCUACUUUAUUCUAAAAAUCAUGCUGUCAAAAUUAAUUUAUGAAAUAAUAAAUUUUUUAAUCUAACAUAAAUUUAAUAAAUAAUUAAUUUCUGAAAAAUAAGUUUUAUAUCCACUCACUCAAUACGAGCUACCGACUAGGCCGGUCGACAAGCUUUUUUAAUUUCUUCGUCACCACCUGAAAUACGUCACAAAAUAACUAAUUUAAUCACUAUUAAAAAUAAAGAAUUUUUUUAUCUCUAAUGAUUUAAUAAUUGAACUAAAUUUCCCGAGACUUGCGAAAUUUUCCUAAAUUUCCUUUAAUCAAUCGGACCUAAUUUCCACUUUUUAAUACCUUCACAAUUAUAUAUCACGUCCAAAUUUAACUUCAUUCCAAUCAUAACAAUAUUUAUCCCCUUCAUUCCAGUGAAAAACUAGCAAUCAUACUACAACCAAAUUAAUAUAUUUAUCGUUCCCCAAAAUCAUUCUUCCAAGUGAAUAAUUCCAUUAAUGUAAUCAUUUCUACAAAUAAUCCAUGUUCAAUCAUCAAAUUUAAAAACUAGGGUUUGCAAAAAAAAAAAAAAAUGAUAUGUCCUUAUCUUAGUGUAGAUAGAAAUUCAAGAAUCAAUAACUUGAGCUCCAAGUAUUAUUAAUCUCAAAAAUCUGAAAAUUUCGAGCCAAAAAUAAAACCCUUGAAUUUUAACAUAAAAUUUAUCUACCUCUUGAAGAAAAUAAAGAGAAAGGAAAAAUGGAAAUAGACCUUAAACUACCUCUUUCCUUUCUUCUUCUUCCUUUUUUCUUUUUCUCCUUCUUUUUCUUCCCUCUUUUCUUUCCCUUUUCUUUCUGCCGAUUUCUUCUUCUUCUCUACCUGUUAUUUUUCUUGCUUCUUUUGUGUGUGUGUGUGUG
rnacentral:lncRNA from 1 species